rnacentral:lncRNA from 1 species
UCGAACGGUUUGGUUAUUCUAGAACCGAUGGUGCUGACAGAUUUUGAGUUUGCGCACGAAUUUCGAGAAAAUCUGAAAAUACAUGUUUUAUAUGUAUUUGUGCGUCAUUUUUCCUUCUGGAGAGAGAAUCAGGUUCGUCGCGAAUCCACGACCGAUCGAGGCGAAACGAAAUGGUGGGUUUGUUUUCUCCGUUGUGCUGAUCGCACUGGCAUGAUCCGCUUGCAAAUCUGGCGGACGGAUCUG